rnacentral:tRNA from 1 species
GCGUCUGUAGCCUAGUUGGUAAAGGCAGCACUCUAGUACUGAGUUCGUGAGUUCGACUCUCACCAGACACA